rnacentral:rRNA from 1 species
GCCUGAUCCAGCCAUGCCGCGUGCAGGAAGACUGCCCUAUGGGUUGUAAACUGCUUUUACAGAGGAAGAACCACCCCCACGUGUGGGGGUUUGACGGUACUCUGCGAAUAAGGAUCGGCUAACUCCGUGCCAGCAGCCGCGGUAAUACGGAGGAUCCAAGCGUUAUCCGGAAUCAUUGGGUUUAAAGGGUCCGUAGGCGGGCAGUUAAGUCAGUGGUGAAAGUCUUCCGCUCAACGGGAGAACUGCCAUUGAUACUGAUUGUCUUGAGUUAUUAUGAAGUGGUUAGAAUGAGUAGUGUAGCGGUGAAAUGCAUAGAUAUUACUCAGAAUACCGAUUGCGAAGGCAGAUCACUAAUAAUAUACUGACGCUGAUGGACGAAAGCGUAGGUAGCGAACAGGAUUAGAUACCCUGGUAGUCUACGCCGUAAACGAUGGUUACUAGCUGUUCGGCCCAAUUGAGGGCUGAGUGGUUAAGCGAAAGUGAUAAGUAACCCACCUGGGGAGUACGUUCGCAAGAAUGAAACUCAAAGGAAUUGACGGGGGCCCGCACAAGCGGUGGAGCAUGUGGUUUAAUUCGAUGAUACGCGAGGAACCUUACCAGGGCUUAAAUGUAGUCUGACAGGUCUGGAAACAGACUUUUCUUCGGACAGAUUACAAGGUGCUGCAUGGUUGUCGUCAGCUCGUGCCGUGAGGUGUCAGGUUAAGUCCUAUAACGAGCGCAACCCCUGUGGUUAGUUGCCAGCGAGUAAUGUCGGGAACUCUAGCCAGACUGCCGGUGCAAACCGCGAGGA